GACGAACGCUGGCGGCGUGCCUAAUACAUGCAAGUCGAACGCAGUGGGGACGGGUGAGUAACACGUGGGUAACCUCCCAUCAGAGGGGAUAACACUUGGAAACAGGUGCUAAACCGAUACUGAUGGAUGGACACGCGGUGCAUUAGCUAUGUGGUGAGGUAACGGCUCACCAAGGCCACGCUGCAUAGCCGGCCUGAGAGGGGGAUCUGCCACACUGGAACGGAGACACGGCCCAGACUCCUACGGGAGGCAGCAGUGGGGAAGCUUGGGCAAUGGACGAAAGUCUGACCGAGCAACGCCGCGUGAGUGAAGAAGGUUUUCGGAUCGUAAAACUCUGUUGUUAGAGAAGCGGUAUCUAACCAGAAAGCAACGGCUAACUACGUGCCAGCCGCCGCGGUAAUUC
rnacentral:rRNA from 1 species